rnacentral:rRNA from 1 species
ACGUAAUAGAUACCCUGGUAGUCCACGCCCUAAACGAUGUCUACUAGUUGUCGGGUCUUAAUUGACUUGGUAAACGCAGCUAAACGCGUGAAGUAGACCGCCUGGGGAGUACGGUCGCAAGAUUAAAACUCAAAGGAAUUGACGGGGACCCGCACAAGCGGUGGAUGAUGUGGAUUAAUUCGAUGCAACGCGAAAAACCUUACCUACCCUUGACAUGGAAGGAAUCCCCGAGAGAUUGGGGAGUGCUCGAAAGAGAACCUUUACACAGGUGCUGCAUGGCUGUCGUCAGCUCGUGUCGUGAGAUGUUGGGUUAAGUCCCGCAACGAGCGCAACCCUUGUCAUUAGUUGCUACGAAAGGGCACUCUAAUGAGACUGCCGGUGACAAACCGGAGGAAGGUGGGGAUGACGUCAAGUCCUCAUGGCCCUUAUGGGUAGGGCUUCACACGUCAUACAAUGGUACAUACAGAGGGCCGCCAACCCGCGAGGGGGUAGCUAAUCCCAGAAAGUGUAUCGUAGUCCGGAUUGUAGUCUGCAACUCGACUGC